ACUAACAUUCUGCAGUUUGAACACCAGAAAGUCCAACCACUGAACACUAAACACUAUCAGUCGGCAGUUGGAACGCAAGAAAGUACAAUCGCUGAACACUAAACUCUGUCAGUAUGCAGUUUGAUGUCUGCACAGCUAGGCUUAUAAGAGAUUGGCAUUUACUGCUGUUAUGGAAUUUUUCCUUUCAAGGAAGUCACUUAAAUUAUUUAUUGGCAAUAAUUUAGUUUAGGCGGAAAGUGUUCUCCCUGAUAAGUCUUUGCUGACUGCACGGGCUAAUCUGGGAUGAGACUUUGUGCACAUGCAUUAGAGCCCAUUAUCCCAGAGUAAGGCCCAAUUACAUGCAGUGUCUGUCACAGUGGAUUUACACAGACAAGCAUCCUGAAGAAACCGUGUAUAAUUCACAUGCAGUGUCUGUCACAUUGGAUUUACACAGACAAGCAUCCUGAAGAAACCGUGUAAUUCACAUGAAUGGACAGAAGAUGGCAGACUUCUACUUAAGAAGAAAAGUUUGUUUGCCCCUUUUGCCAGAAGGGGUUUAACCAGAAAACCCACAUUGCUGCCCAUGUUCGAACCCACACAGGGGAAAGACCGUUCAUAUGCAAGAUCUGUCGAAAAGGAUUUACACAGAAAAGUAACUUGACACGACACAGUGCAAUUCACAUGAACUUCCAAAUACUGAAAACAAACUGACACAAAUGGUAUCGGAAUGUAUGUGAAAUUGUGAGACAUUUCAUAUGCUCCAGUGUAUAUUUGCCUAGUUUGAGUAGUUUGUGAAGGAUCCAGUGACAAGAGUCUCGUACAUUUUAGAAAGCAACACUGACAAUGUUUGUUCAAUGAUGGAAUAAAUUGUCUGAUUCAAA